rnacentral:sRNA from 1 species
GGAUGCUAUCAUACCAGCACUA